rnacentral:rRNA from 1 species
GCUUGUCUCAAAGAUUAAGCCAUGCAUGUCUAAGUAUAAAUCUUUUACUUUGAAACUGCGAACGGCUCAUUAUAUCAGUUAUAGUUUAUUUGAUAGUACCUUACUACAUGGAUACCUGUGGUAAUUCUAGAGCUAAUACAUGCUAAAAACCCCGACUUCAGGAAGGGGUGUAUUUAUUAGAUAAAAAACCAACGCCCUUCGGGGCUCCUUGGUGAAUCAUAAUAACUUAACGAAUCGCAUGGCCUUGCGCCGGCGAUGGUUCAUUCAAAUUUCUGCCCUAUCAACUUUCGAUGGUAGGAUAGUGGCCUACCAUGGUGGCAACGGGUAACGGGGAAUUAGGGUUCGAUUCCGGAGAGGGAGCCUGAGAAACGGCUACCACAUCCAAGGAAGGCAGCAGG